AACGAACGCUGGCGGCAGGCUUAACACAUGCAAGUCGAACGCACCUUUCGGGGUGAGUGGCAGACGGGUGAGUAACGCGUGGGAAUCUACCCUUCUCUACGGGAUAGCUCCGGGAAACUGGAAUUAAUACCGUAUACGUCCUGAGGGAGAAAGAUUUAUCGGGGCAGGAUGAGCCCGCGUUGGAUUAGCUAGUUGGUGGGGUAAAGGCCUACCAAGGCGACGAUCCAUAGCUGGUCUAAGAGGAUGAUCAGCCACAUUGGGACUGAGACACGGCCCAAACUCCUACGGGAGGCAGGAGUAGGUAGUAUUGGACAAGGGGCGCAAGCCUGAUCCAGCCAUGCCGCGGGAGUGAUGAAGGCGCUAGGGUUGUAAAGCUCUUUCAGUGGGGACGAUAAUGACGGUACCCACAGAAGAAGCCCCGGCUAACUUCGUG
rnacentral:rRNA from 1 species